AUCAUGUCUUUUCUUUUCUUUUUUAGGUAUUGAUGAGGAAUCUGAAACUAAUAAUAGUGAUCGCAGUAGGACUUGGAUCAUAUUGUCUGUGGUAGCCUGUGUUUGUGUUGCUGCUGUCAUCAUCACUGCCAGGCUUAGACAAAAAAAAUCCCAACAGUCUGUCACACAGGGACUCUGAGGAGAACAUGACGGACAACACAA